UAGGGAAUCUUCCNUUCAAUGGGGGCAACCCUGACCGAGCAACGCCGCGUGAGUGAAGAAGGUUUUCGGAUCGUAAAGCUCUUGUUGUAAGUCAAGAACGAGUGUGAGAGUGGAAAGUUCACACUGUGACGGUAGCUUACCAGAAAGGGACGGCUAACUACGUGCCAGCAGCCGCGGUAAUACGUAGGUCCCGAGCGUUGUCCGGAUUUAUUGGGCGUAAAGCGAGCGCAGGCGGUUUGAUAAGUCUGAAGUUAAAGGCUGUGGCUCAACCAUAGUUCGCUUUGGAAACUGUCAAACUUGAGUGCAGAAGGGGAGAGUGGAAUUCCAUGUGUAGCGGUGAAAUGCGUAGAUAUAUGGAGGAACACCGGUGGCGAAAGCGGCUCUCUGGUCUGUAACUGACGCUGAGGCUCGAAAGCGUGGGGAGCGAACAGGAUUAGAUACCCUGGUAGUCCACGCCGUAAACGAUGAGUGCUAGGUGUUGGAUCCUUUCCGGGAUUCAGUGCCGCAGCUAAACGCAUUAAGCACUCCCGCCUGGGGAGUACGACCGCAAGGUUGA
rnacentral:rRNA from 1 species